rfam:Rhodospirillales bacterium RIFCSPLOWO2_12_FTLL_58_28 rifcsplowo2_12_scaffold_242, whole genome shotgun sequence.
GGGGGUGUAGCUCAGUUGGUUAGAGCGCCGGCCUGUCACGCCGGAGGCCGCGGGUUCGAGUCCCGUCACUCCCG